GACAGAGGGUGCGAACGUUGUUCGGAAUUACUGGGCGUAAAGCGCGUGUAGGCGGCAGCGCAAGUCGGGCGUGAAAUCCCACGGCUCAACCGUGGAAGUGCACUCGAAACUGCGCAGCCAGAGUCCUGGAGAGGAAGGUGGAAUGCUUGGUGUAGAGGUGAAAUUCGUAGAUAUCAAGCGGAACACCGGUGGCGAAGGCGGCCUUCUGGACAGUGACUGACGCUGAGACGCGAAAGCGUGGGGAGCAAACAGG
rnacentral:rRNA from 1 species